rnacentral:lncRNA from 12 species
GUCUCAUAUUUCCAUUAAAGCUUUUCCCUUCUAUACUUUGCUUAUACUUCAGAGGGUGGUGCAAAAGCUGCGCUUGGUCUGGGCCAUCCAGCAAAUUACAAUUCCAGCUUUACCUUUGCACCUCCUGGGAGAAGAAAGACAAAGCCUUCUUUUUUAGGGCCUAAUUAGGCUGUCAUUUAGCAUCCCAGCCACGGAGGUCGGGACAUGCAGCUUUAGCAGAGAUCUGGGUCCCGUCUUUGGGGACAGCAGAGCUGUUUCAUGCCUCUGUGAUGUGUCAUCCCAACUGUGUCCAGUAUGGGCUUUUCAGAUGCAGCUUUCUGGUUCUUUGGGGAGAAUUGUUUUCUAGUGCUUUUAGUCAUUUUCAAAGGCUUUUAUUAUUUAAUUUAAAUGUAUAAUUCUCAGCUCAUAAUUUAAUCGGCCUCUGAAAAUGGUUUCAACAACUUGCUAUCCUGGUUAGACUGAAUUGCAGUUUAGACAAGACAAGGGCACAUUUACUGUGGGCUGAGAUACUCCGCCUGGUUAUUUAAUUAUCCUUCAGGACAUAGAUUUAUAAUUAUAUUCCUUUAGAUGUAUGUUAGGAAAUGGAACUGACUAUUUUCGGGGUAAGGUUUGAGCGAGGUAAAGUGGAGAUUUUUAUGGUAUUGAAUUUCUAAAGCAGAAUCAGGUCUAUACUUUAAAACUAUUUUUAUGCUUUAAAAAAACAAGGAUAUGAGGAAAUGCCUGCAUUAACUGUGAGUUCGUGGGUCCCUAACGAAAUCAAAGGAAAUUUGAUUAUGGAAAGGUGGCUGAGAAACUAACUCUGUUUAUGUUUUGUUUAUUUUGAGAUAAUCCAGUCAUUCAAAGAGAAAACAGAAUGAUGGUGAUUCAUGAUGCUAAUAUAAAGAUGGGAGAUCUAAUAAGGAAGGAAGAAAGUAAAUUCCCCUUCCAGAACUCAAGUGGUCUGCUGAAAAGGAGAAGAAGAAGGAGGAGGAGCAAAAGAAGAGGAGGAAGGAGAAAAAGAUGACAUAGAACAUAGAGACAAAGAAAGACAAAGACAAGAUGAAGCACAGAUCUCUUGUUUCAUAAACCUUGUCCACCUCGCUGUCAUCAUCCCUGGUAUUCUAGCCUCAGGGACAAGCCAGUGACUCCUAGGUCUGUCUUUUGAUCCAGAAUGUUCUUCACUAGACUGCCUCCCAUCCCCAAGCUGAGUGAAGGUUUUGGCAUCAUCACCUCCUCAACAAGCCUUCCCUGACCAUCUCUUCCCUCUCUCCUCUGCUUCUGUUUAACAAAAAUCCCAAUGUAUUUCCAAUAUUAAUCUAGGUGCCAUAUAUUUUAAUUAUUACAUUUUUAUCUAAUUAUUGUAUUUUAAAACCAGUGUGUGUGGUGGUUGAGACCUUGGGCUCUGAAUGCUGACCGCCUGAAUUUGGAUUCCAAUUUUGCAUUUCCUAGUGGGUUAUGUGGUCAAAUUACUUAAGCUCUCUGUACUUCAGUUUACUCAUCUGUGAAAUGGGGAUAAUGGUAGCCCCUACUUCCUGGGACUAUAGUGGAGAUUCAGUGAAUUAGCGUGUGCAAAGUGCUUGGAACAUUGGCUGUGACAACCUUAGUGCUUCACUCAUUCCAUAAAGAAGCUGUUAUGUGAGUUGUAUAGAUUUUAUUUGAGAAAAUACAGUAAAAACAUUUUAUUUUUGUUGUUGUUGUGUUUAUUUGUAAAAUAGAUAAUCAGAUAAUGUUAAAAAUCUAUUGCAACAGAUUGUUCUUUGUUGGUAGAUUUCUUAGAAAACUAAAAAUCUUUUAAAAUAAAGGAGCGUUGUACUCUUGGGCA